UACGUAGGGGGCUAGCGUUGUCCGGAAUCAUUGGGCGUAAAGCGCGUGUAGGCGGCCCGGUAAGUCCGCUGUGAAAGUCGGGGGCUCAACCCUCGAAUGCCGGUGGAUACUGUCGGGCUAGAGUACGGAAGAGGCGAGUGGAAUUCCUGGUGUAGCGGUGGAAUGCGCAGAUAUCAGGAAGAACACCAACGGCGAAGGCAGCUCGCUGGGACGGUACUGACGCUGAGACGCGAAAGCGUGGGGAGCGAACAGG
rnacentral:rRNA from 1 species